UACGAAGGGGGCUAGCGUUGCUCGGAAUCACUGGGCGUAAAGGGUGCGUAGGCGGGUCUUUAAGUCAGGGGUGAAAUCCUGGAGCUCAACUCCAGAACUGCCUUUGAUACUGAAGAUCUUGAGUUCGGGAGAGGUGAGUGGAACUGCGAGUGUAGAGGUGAAAUUCGUAGAUUAUCGCAAGAACACCAGUGGCGAAGGCGGCUCACUGGCCCGAUACUGACGCUGAGGCACGAAAGCGUGGGGAGCAAACAGG
rnacentral:rRNA from 1 species